rnacentral:rRNA from 1 species
AGUGAACGCUGGCGGUAGGCCUAACACAUGCAAGUCGAACGGCAGCACAGUGAGAGCUUGCUCUUACGGGUGGCGAGUGGCGGACGGGUGAGGAAUACAUCGGAAUCUACUUUUUCGUGGGGGAUAACGUAGGGAAACUUACGCUAAUACCGCAUACGACCUACGGGUGAAAGCAGGGGAUCUUCGGACCUUGCGCGAUUGAAUGAGCCGAUGUCGGAUUAGCUAGUUGGCGGGGUAAAGGCCCACCAAGGCGACGAUCCGUAGCUGGUCUGAGAGGAUGAUCAGCCACACUGGAACUGAGACACGGUCCAGACUCCUACGGGAGGCAGCAGUGGGGAAUAUUGGACAAUGGGCGCAAGCCUGAUCCAGCCAUACCGCGUGGGUGAAGAAGGCCUUCGGGUUGUAAAGCCCUUUUGUUGGGAAAGAAAAGCAGCAGGUUAAUCCCCCGCUGUUCUGACGGUACCCAACGAAUAAGCACCGGCUAACUUCGUG